UAACAGAACUUUCAGAAUCUGGAAUCAGACUGGACUUAUUCUGAUGAAAUUUAAACAUACAUAAUGACUGCAAUUUGGCCUAACAUAUUUAACAACCACAUUCAGCCAUGAUGGAUGGAGAAUUUGGAGACCUUUUUCAGACUAGCUGUUUCUCAGAAUGCUGUCUGAUUUCAUUCAGUGCAGGUCAUCAGAAAGCGAGAAUGGACACACUUGGGGUCAUGAAAUCGGUCAUCUCUGGAAAAGUUGCAGGGCACCUCAGUCGUGGUUAUUGAAGGUCUGAAGGUAGAAGAGAGCGCUGGUCAUUCUCUCCCCCCACCUACAAGUCCUGCUGGUACUGAGGCUCGAACAUGUGACUUUCGAGUAUCCAGGGACUUUUGCAAUACUGUUUUCAACAUACUAUGCUUUGGGACACACGUAGGCCAUGUGGACGAACGGCCAAACUGCAUAGAUAAAGAUGUGGUUUUGAAAAUGCCCGCGUUCGUGUGGACAGGGCCUUUUUCUAAUCUUGCUAUUUAGGAUGGAUAGUAGGCACAUUGGGAUGCAGGAUUUGUUGUUGUUCUGCUGGCGAGAACAGGAUGAAAGAGAAAUCAGACAAGGAACAGGUAAGAACAAUUAACAGAAUGAGG
ensembl:lncRNA